UACGAAGGGGGCUAGCGUUGUUCGGAUUUACUGGGCGUAAAGCGCACGUAGGCGGAUCGUUUAGUCGAGGGUGAAAUCCUGGGGCUCAACCCCAGAACUGCCUUCGAUACUGGCGAUCUUGAGUCCGGAAGAGGUGAGUGGAACUCCUAGUGUAGAGGUGGAAUUCGUAGAUAUUAGGAAGAACACCAGUGGCGAAGGCGGCUCACUGGUCCGGUACUGACGCUGAGGUGCGAAAGCGUGGGGAGCAAACAGG
rnacentral:rRNA from 1 species